GGGUUGUGAGGUUAAGCGACUAAGCGUACACGGUGGAUGCCCUGGCAGUCAGAGGCGAUGAAGGACGUGCUAAUCUGCGAUAAGCGUCGGUAAGGUGAUAUGAACCGUUAUAACCGGCGAUUUCCGAAUGGGGAAACCCAGUGUGUUUCGACACACUAUCAUUAACUGAAUCCAUAGGUUAAUGAGGCGAACCGGGGGAACUGAAACAUCUAAGUACCCCGAGGAAAAGAAAUCAACCGAGAUUCCCCCAGUAGCGGCGAGCGAACGGGGAGCAGCCCAGAGCCUGAAUCAGUGUGUGUGUUAGUGGAAGCGUCUGGAAAGGCGCGCGAUACAGGGUGACAGCCCCGUACACAAAAAUGCACAUGCUGUGAGCUCGAUGAGUAGGGCGGGACACGUGGUAUCCUGUCUGAAUAUGGGGGGACCAUCCUCCAAGGCUAAAUACUCCUGACUGACCGAUAGUGAACCAGUACCGUGAGGGAAAGGCGAAAAGAACCCCGGCGAGGGGAGUGAAAAAGAACCUGAAACCGUGUACGUACAAGCAGUGGGAGCACGCUUAGGCGUGUGACUGCGUACCUUUUGUAUAAUGGGUCAGCGACUUAUAUUCUGUAGCAAGGUUAACCGAAUAGGGGAGCCGAAGGGAAACCGAGUCUUAACUGGGCGUUAAGUUGCAGGGUAUAGACCCGAAACCCGGUGAUCUAGCCAUGGGCAGGUUGAAGGUUGGGUAACACUAACUGGAGGACCGAACCGACUAAUGUUGAAAAAUUAGCGGAUGACUUGUGGCUGGGGGUGAAAGGCCAAUCAAACCGGGAGAUAGCUGGUUCUCCCCGAAAGCUAUUUAGGUAGCGCCUCGUGAAUUCAUCUCCGGGGGUAGAGCACUGUUUCGGCAAGGGGGUCAUCCCGACUUACCAACCCGAUGCAAACUGCGAAUACCGGAGAAUGUUAUCACGGGAGACACACGGCGGGUGCUAACGUCCGUCGUGAAGAGGGAAACAACCCAGACCGCCAGCUAAGGUCCCAAAGUCAUGGUUAAGUGGGAAACGAUGUGGGAAGGCCCAGACAGCCAGGAUGUUGGCUUAGAAGCAGCCAUCAUUUAAAGAAAGCGUAAUAGCUCACUGGUCGAGUCGGCCUGCGCGGAAGAUGUAACGGGGCUAAACCAUGCACCGAAGCUGCGGCAGCGACGCUGAUGCGUUGUUGGGUAGGGGAGCGUUCUGUAAGCCUGCGAAGGUGUGCUGUGAGGCAUGCUGGAGGUAUCAGAAGUGCGAAUGCUGACAUAAGUAACGAUAAAGCGGGUGAAAAGCCCGCUCGCCGGAAGACCAAGGGUUCCUGUCCAACGUUAAUCGGGGCAGGGUGAGUCGACCCCUAAGGCGAGGCCGAAAGGCGUAGUCGAUGGGAAACAGGUUAAUAUUCCUGUACUUGGUGUUACUGCGAAGGGGGGACGGAGAAGGCUAUGUUGGCCGGGCGACGGUUGUCCCGGUUUAAGCGUGUAGGCUGGUUUUCCAGGCAAAUCCGGAAAAUCAAGGCUGAGGCGUGAUGACGAGGCACUACGGUGCUGAAGCAACAAAUGCCCUGCUUCCAGGAAAAGCCUCUAAGCAUCAGGUAACAUCAAAUCGUACCCCAAACCGACACAGGUGGUCAGGUAGAGAAUACCAAGGCGCUUGAGAGAACUCGGGUGAAGGAACUAGGCAAAAUGGUGCCGUAACUUCGGGAGAAGGCACGCUGAUAUGUAGGUGAGGUCCCUCGCGGAUGGAGCUGAAAUCAGUCGAAGAUACCAGCUGGCUGCAACUGUUUAUUAAAAACACAGCACUGUGCAAACACGAAAGUGGACGUAUACGGUGUGACGCCUGCCCGGUGCCGGAAGGUUAAUUGAUGGGGUUAGCGCAAGCGAAGCUCUUGAUCGAAGCCCCGGUAAACGGCGGCCGUAACUAUAACGGUCCUAAGGUAGCGAAAUUCCUUGUCGGGUAAGUUCCGACCUGCACGAAUGGCGUAAUGAUGGCCAGGCUGUCUCCACCCGAGACUCAGUGAAAUUGAACUCGCUGUGAAGAUGCAGUGUACCCGCGGCAAGACGGAAAGACCCCGUGAACCUUUACUAUAGCUUGACACUGAACAUUGAGCCUUGAUGUGUAGGAUAGGUGGGAGGCUUAGAAGUGUGGACGCCAGUCUGCAUGGAGCCGACCUUGAAAUACCACCCUU
rnacentral:rRNA from 1 species